rnacentral:rRNA from 1 species
AGUUAAAGUUUUACGGUAAAAGAUGGGCUUGCGUCCUAUUAGUUUGUAGGUGAGGUAACGGCUCACCUAGACUACGAUAGGUAGGGGCCCUGAGAGGGGGAUCCCCCACACUGGUACUGAGACACGGACCAGAUUCCUACGGGAGGCAGCAGUAAGGAAUAUUGGACAAUGGACGAAAAUCUGAUCCAGCCAUGCCGCGUCAGGAUGAAAGCCCUAUGGGUUGUAAACUGCUUUAUACAGGAAGAACACUCGUACGUUACGAGCUUGACGGACUGUAAGA